GCGCAGCAGAGGGGCAGAAUCCCCCCCUCGCCCUGCUGCCCACGCUGCUGGGGAUGCAGCCCAGGCUGCGGGGGGUUUCUGGGCUGCCAGCGCACGUUGCCGUGGCGUGUGGAGCUUCUCCUCCACCAACACCCCCAAAUCCUUCUCCUCAGGGCUGCUUUCCAGCCAUUCUCCACCCAGCCCAGACUGGUCUUUAAGGUCCCUUCCAACUCUGACCAUUGUGUGAUUCUAUGACUCGUGCACAGCCCCUGAGGGCCACCCCAGGGCUCCAACACGUGGUGGGACACAGCCCACCCCGUUGCAGCGGCUCAGGCCUCCUCCUGCCCAGCUUGUCCCUGUGUACCAUCCCCGCUGCUGCUCUGGGCUUGGUUAUGCCACCAGUUUGGGCCACAUGGCAAGGUCCCCCCAAGCUGAACAAAUUCCCAGGGUUUUCUCAGCGUUUCUCCUACUUGCAACCUGCUCCGCUUCCUCUUUCCUUUUCCUUUUGAGGCCAACGCAGAGACAAGCUCUCCUAUCACAGUAAGAAGGACAGCAGAUGCUCUUCGCCUUGUGCAAACCCUCUUCCCUGAACAACAUCGUGGAUCCCAGAAACACCUUGAAGCAGAGAGGGGGAGAGAAGAAGGGAGCCGCAGCCAUCAGCACCCUGCAACUCCUUUACACCCGGCACCCGCUCACAGCCAGGGCCAUGGAGGGAGAGGCCGAUAAUCAACGGAGCGUGUUGAACCUGGUGGCUGUGUUUGAAGAGCACUGGGCCAGCAAAUUUUCCUGGAGGGACAAACAGGCUCCGCACGACCAGGCUGCUCCUGCAACCAGCCAGCCCCAGCAGCUUCCAGCAUCCCCUGCCAGCCAGGGCCAGGGCCUCUCCCAGAUGGCUGCCAGGCACCAAGCGGAGCAGGAGAACAAGGAGGAGGAGGAGCAGCAGGGUCAGCGGGGGCUCAGCUUCAAAUGCCUCCGUUCAUUCCGACACAAAAUCAGCGAGGACAACUGGAGGAGGCAGCAGGACCCCGGCUUCGAGACCGGCAGCAAGGAACCAGAGGAAAAGAAAAUAGCUCUGGAGCUGUUGGAGACAGAGCAGGCUUACGUCAGCCGCCUCCACCUUCUCGACCAGGUAUUCUAUACAGAGUUGAUGAAAGAAGCCAAAAAUGGGAAGACAGUCCCGGAGGAGGUGGUGAAAAUGAUCUUCUCCAACAUCUCCUCCAUCUACCAGUUCCACGCCAAGUUCUUCCUGCCAGAGCUGCAGAAGCGCAUGGAAGAUUGGAGCUGCAACCCACGGAUCGGGGAUGUGAUCCAGAAGCUUGCGCCGUUCCUCAAGAUGUACGGCGAAUACGUAAAGAACUUCGACAAGGCUGUGGAGCUCAUCACCUUCUGGUCAGAGAAAUCCCCGCCCUUCCAGGAGCUCAUUGCUGACAUCCAGAAGAGGAAGGUCUGUGCUAACCUAACGCUGCAGCACCACAUGCUGGAACCUGUGCAGAGGAUCCCGCGCUACGAACUCCUCCUGAAAGAUUAUGUCCGAAAACUACCACCUGAGUCCCCAGACCGGGACGAUGCAGAGAAGGCCCUGGAGAUGAUUUUUAUGGUGGCCAAGCACUCAAACGCAGCUAUCGCCGAGAUGGAACGGCUGCAGAACCUCUGGGCGGUCUAUCAGCGACUGGGCCUCGAGGACGACAUUGUGGAUCCCUCCAAUGAGCUGAUCAAGGAGGGGCCGAUCCAGAAAAUCUCCACCCGCAACAACAGCACAUCGGAGAAGUACCUGUUCCUGUUCAACAACAUGCUGCUGUACUGCGUGCCCAAGGUCAUCCAGGUGGGCGCCGAGUUCCAGGUCCACCUCCGCAUCAACGUGGACGGCAUGAAGGUGCGGGAGCUGAACGACACACAGUUCCCUCACACCUUCCUGGUCUCGGGAAAACAGCGGACGCUGGAGCUGCAAGCUAGGUCUGACGAGGAGAUGAACGCCUGGAUCAAGGCCUUCCAAGAUGCCAUUGACAGAAAGGAGAAGAGGAGUGAGACCUUUAAGACAGCAGUGCACGGGCUGGAGACGGGCACCUCUGCAUUGAAGGCAGAGGAGCUGGGCCGUCGAGCUCCACAGUGGGUGCGGGACAACCUGGUGACCAUGUGCAUGCGCUGCAAGGAGCCCUUCAACGCCAUCAUGCGCCGGAGACACCACUGCCGAGCUUGUGGAUACGUGGUGUGCGCUCGCUGCUCUGACUACAAGGCUGAGCUGCAGUAUGAUGGGAACCGCCUGAACCGCGUCUGCCAGGAGUGUUACGUCUUCCUGACAGGCCACGUGGUGCUCGAAGACCGGGAGGGGAAGCACAAAGGCAUCCUGGAGAAAGGUGCUGCAGAGAUAUCAGGCAGGAGUUUGCUGUGCAGUUCCCUGCAGCUGCUGGACAAGAACGGCAAGGGGGGCACACGGGGCUGGUUCGUCAUCCCGCAGGAUGAUCCCCUCGUGUUGUACAUCUACGCAGCUCCCCAGGACGUCCGAGCCCACACCUCCAUCCCACUGCUGGGCUACCAGGUGAAGGACCUGCCCCAGAGCGACUCCCGUCACCUCUUCCAGCUGGUGCAGUCCCGGCAGGUCUACACCUUCGUGGCCGACACGGAGGAGCUGAAGCAGCGCUGGAUGAGGGCCAUGGCGCGCUCUGCCGCGGGGAUUACACUCUCGGAGGAGGAGGAUGAGGAUGCAGACUCCUGCGACGAAGCAGAAUAAGGCCAUGCCCACCUCCUGGGCUGCCUGGAGCGUCAAACCUCCCCCUGCCCGUCCUGCUCGCCGCUGGCUUCGGGCUGAUCCCCGACCUCUCUGCGCUUUGGUUUUUCGUCACGAAAAGGACAAGGCGGAGGCACGUUUGCCACCGCACGGUCAAGCCGGAUCCCCUUUCCUCUCCCUCCUUGCUCUCCGCAUUGGACAGAGAUGAUGGAGCCCCCGUCGCGGCGAUGGUCAAGCGGAGCAGUUUGGCCUCUUGCCUUCCCCGCGCAGAAAGCGAAACCCCAUGGAGAAGUCGCGCCGUUUCCUAUUCUCGAGAAUGAGGAAGGCUCGGAGGCCAUUUACUGGAAUCCCCCCCCUCCGCCGCAGCCCUCCCCGCGGCCUCUUCUUGUAAGCACUGACCAAAAUACAUUGUGAAACCCGCGCUGCGGCUACGCUGGGGGCCGGGCCACCCCUCAUUGAGAAAAUCCUGCAGCAAAGGGGAACAGGAGCCAGCGCAGCCGCUGCUUUCCAGAGGAUUCGUUCUCCUCUCAUCCCAAACCCCGGGAAUCUCUGCAAUGUGCCGGCUGCUCCCCGGGAGGCCGGGGCGGCCGUGAGUCACUGCUGCCGCUGGAACGUGACUCAGUCCUGCUGCUCUCCCCGGCAGGACAUGACCAGACUGCCAACGCCAGGGAGAAGCCCCAGCGCCGCUGCCUGCCCGCGCCGGCGGGCGAGGAUACCCGAAAUCCCCCCGGAGAGCUUGGCCCCCCCCACUUCUCGAUGGG